GACGAACGCUGGCGGCGCGCCUAACACAUGCAAGUCGAACGAGCGAGAGAGAGCUUGCUUUCUCGAGCGAGUGGCGAACGGGUGAGUAACGCGUGAGGAACCUGCCUCAAAGAGGGGGACAACAGUUGGAAACGACUGCUAAUACCGCAUAAGCCCACGGCUCGGCAUCGAGCAGGGGGAAAAGGAGCAAUCCGCUUUGAGAUGGCCUCGCGUCCGAUUAGCUAGUUGGUGAGGUAACGGCCCACCAAGGCGACGAUCGGUAGCCGGACUGAGAGGUUGAACGGCCACAUUGGGACUGAGACACGGCCCAGACUCCUACGGGAGGCAGCAGGGGGGAAUAUUGCACAAUGGGGGAAACCCUGAUGCAGCGACGCCGCGUGGAGGAAGAAGGUCUUCGGAUUGUAAACUCCUGUUGUUGGGGAAGAUAAUGACGGUACCCAACAAGGAAGUGACGGCUAACUACGUG
rnacentral:rRNA from 1 species